rnacentral:rRNA from 1 species
CCUACGGGGGGCUGCAGUGAGGAAUAUUGGUCAAUGGGCGAGAGCCUGAACCAGCCAAGUCGCGUGAAGGAUGACGGCCCUAUGGGUUGUAAACUUCUUUUGUCAGGGAGCAAUUGGGUCCACGCGUGGGCUUAGCGAGAGUACCUGAAGAAAAAGCAUCGGCUAACUCCGUGCCAGCGGCCGCGGUAUUACGGGGGAUGCGAGCGUUACCGGGUUUUAUUGGGUUUAAAGGGUGCGUAGGCGGAAUAUCAAGUCAGCGGUAAAAAUUCGGGGCUCAACCCCGUCGUGCCGUUGAUACUGGUGUUCUUGAGUGGGCGAGAGGUAGGCGGAAUGCGUGGUGUAGCGGUGAAAUGCAUAGAUAUCACGCAGAACUCCGAUUGCGAAGGCAGCAUACCGGCGCCCAACUGACGCUGAAGCACGAAAGCGUGGGUAUCGAACAGGAUUAGAUACCCUAGUAGUC